rnacentral:rRNA from 1 species
AGAGUUUGAUCCUGGCUCAGGACGAACGCUGGCGGCGCGCCUAACACAUGCAAGUCGAACGGAGUUAUUGUGACAGAAUCUUCGGAGGAAGGAAUAAUAACUUAGUGGCGAACGGGUGAGUAACGCGUGAGUAACCUGCCUUAGAGAGGGGGACAACAGUUGGAAACGACUGCUAAUACCGCAUAAGCCCACGGAGCCGCAUGGCUCUGUGAGAAAAGGAGAAAUCCGCUUUAAGAUGGACUCGCGUCUGAUUAGAUAGUUGGUGAGGUAACGGCCCACCAAGUCGACGAUCAGUAGCCGGACUGAGAGGUUGAACGGCCACAUUGGGACUGAGACACGGCCCAGACUCCUACGGGAGGCAGCAGUGGGGAAUAUUGCACAAUGGGGGGAACCCUGAUGCAGCGACGCCGCGUGAAGGAAGAAGGUUUUCGGAUUGUAAACUUCUGUCGCAGGGGACGAUAAUGACGGUACCCUGUAAGAAAGCACCGGCUAACUACGUGCCAGCAGCCGCGGUAAUACGUAGGGUGCGAGCGUUGUCCGGAAUUACUGGGUGUAAAGGGAGCGUAGGCGGCUUAGCAAGUUGGACGUUUAAUCUAUGGGCUUAACCCGUAGUCGCGUUCAAAACUGCUGAGCUUGAGUGAAGUAGAGGUAAGUGGAAUUUCCAGUGUAGCGGUGGAAUGCGUAGAUAUUGGAAGGAACAUCAGUGGCGAAGGCGACUUACUGGGCUUUAACUGACGCUGAGGCUCGAAAGCGUGGGUAGCAAACAGGAUUAGAUACCCUGGUAGUCCACGCGGUAAACGAAGAAAUACUAGGUGUUGGGUGCCAAAGGCAUUCGGUGCCGCCGCAAACGCAAUAAGUAUUCCACCUAGGGAGUACGUUCGCAAGAAUGAAACUCAAAGGAAUUGACGGGGACCCGCACAAGCGGUGGAGCAUGUGGUUUAAUUCGAAGCAACGCGAAGAACCUUACCAAGUCUUGACAUCCCCCUGACCGGUGAGUAAUGUCACCUUUCCUUCGGGACAGGGGAGACAGGUGGUGCAUGGUUGUCGUCAGCUCGUGUCGUGAGAUGUUGGGUUAAGUCCCGCAACGAGCGCAACCCUUAUCCUUAGUAGCCAGCAUGUUAUGGUGGGCACUCUAGGGAGACUGCCAGGGACAACCUGGAGGAAGGUGGGGAUGACGUCAAAUCAUCAUGCCCCUUAUGACUUGGGCUACACACGUGCUACAAUGGCGUAAACAAAGGGAAGCGAGCCUGUGAGGGGGAGCAAAUCCCAAAAAUAACGUCCCAGUUCGGACUGUAGUCUGCAACCCGACUACACGAAGCUGGAAUCGCUAGUAAUCGCGAAUCAGAAUGUCGCGGUGAAUACGUUCCCGGGUCUUGCACACACCGCCCGUCA